CUCAGAUACUACCAGAGAAAGGCAUCGCUGGACCAUUUGUGGUUUCAGGAUGCUUGCCAUGAUCUCACUUUGAUCAUUUUGAUGGUUGUUGCAGUAGCGUCUUUAGCACUUGGGAUUAAAAACAGAGGGUAUCAAAGAAGGAUGGUAUGAUGGAGGAAGCACUGCAUUUGCAGUGAUUAUUUUGAUUGUUGUCACGGCUGUCAGUGACUACAAAUAACCUCUCCAGCCUCGGAACCUGAAUGAUUAAAGUGAAACAUACUAUAGGUGACAAGAGGUGGAAAAUUCUAUCUAUGAUAUUGUGGGCGGCGGUAGUUGGAUUAGAGUUGUCUGGUUCACCAACAGAAAAAGGCCAUUCUUGGCUGGGAAAUCAAGCUGUGGAUGAAUUUUCGAGAUUCUAGCUUCAUGCUUUUCCGUUCAACUCAGAGAAGAAGUGUGGUGGUGUUGCUGUAAAACACGGUAAAUAUCUGCUUCUACAUUGUAGAUACUAAAAUUAUUUUUCGGAUGUAUGAUAGACAAGAAAAAUCAUAAUCUCUAGAAAAAUUGAGAAAAUCCUAUCAACAAAGUGAAGACCUCAAAUUCCGACUAUACUUAAGGAUUAUAUAACCCAAUAUUAAUUUUGACAUUUGUAUACAUUACAUGUAGUACUUGUUUAA